GCAAUGAAAGCAGUCUGUGUGGAGAGAUUGAAAUGCAUUUCAAAGCCAGGCCUGACUAGGGGGGCACGGAGAACAGACCUAUGAGCGUUCCCUAGGAAGGGAAAAAAGUGAAUGGAGAAUGGGAGAGAAGCGGGAGCUGUGGACCGGGUGUUGAAGUUACCGUGGCUCUGUGGACUCAGUCGUCUCCAGUGGGGCCGAAGUUGGACGUCUCGCUGUCCAGGAGACUGAGCGGUCUGAGCAGGGAAAGUUUGGAGCUCCGCGUGAUUGGAAAGAAUGAAGAUUUCUUCUCACCAACCCCUCUUCACCCGUCGGAGCCGGAAGGAUGUGUGGAUAGACGGCUUAAGAACAAAAUGAACUGGAGUUUUUUGAGAGUCCUUUGAGGCCUGCUUGGAUAUUUCCCUCCCUUCCUCCCAAGCCACCACCUCCUUCGGUGGAAUAGAAGAUUGGCUGCCUCAGUAAACCCAGGAGAGCCAUGGUGACCACAGUAGCUUUCUCUUCAAAAUGACAACUAUCUCAUCUCUUCAGACUAAAUUAACUCCAUCCACAGUCAGAAGAAAACUCACAAAAUGGUGGUCAGGAAGACUGAUCUCUAGAACAUUCACGGGACGAAAGGAUGAGAGAAAAAAGGGGAUUGCAGAGGCAAAGCUAGACUAGGUCUUGGAGGCUGGUGUAAGGUGGUGCGCGGAAGGCAGGACGCUGAUGGGAGAGACUGGUCGAAGAAAAGCCUAAAUGGAUUCUCCGUGCUUUGGAUGG
ensembl:processed_transcript